UAAAUGAGUUACAUUCAUCUGACGA
rnacentral:piRNA from 1 species